UGUUAGUGUGUGUGUUUGUGGGUGUGGUUGAAGGAGCAGUGACAGGUGGCGCUGGGGAGGGAGGGUAGCUGGCUGGGUGGCCGGCUACAGUGUUCUGGCCAGCACCGGUCAGGCUUGCCCCACACGCUCUGUUAACCAGUGUUUCCUUAUUCCCGGCAGCUUCUCCCUGCACCGAGCACCGCCAAACAACACCAGAGAGGCACGAAUAUGUAAGGAGUGACGCUAACAGAGGCAAGAUGCUGGAGACAAGAAAAGUGGAAACACACACACACACACACACACACACACACACACACACACACACACACACACACACACACACACACACACACACACACACACACACACCGCGAUCUGCUGCCCCCCUGAUGGACCGUCCUCUCUGCAACACCACGCUUCUGUGACAAACUGGUGCCCGUCACAACACCCACACACCGCUGCAAGUCACCGCUCCCUCUCAAGUCAUGCUGAAUAAUAACCACUGUCACUUUUCGUCAAUCUUAUCUUUUUUACAGUUUUAAUUAUCGUACGUAACCCUUUGAGUGAUAUGUAUACAGAUUUUUUUUUCUUUUCCUAAUUGCCAAUCACUCUUCAGAUAUCUUUACUUGUUCUCCUCCAGCCGUCUCCAGUCUUGUGAAGUCUAUUUUAUUUUAUUUUUUCUUUAAUCUGUAACUUUCGUGUUUAUAAAGAUGUCAUGCAUUGCUUCCGGCGCCGCUAAUUGUUCCUUGUUCCUGUAAAAGGGUUAAUAUUGCCUUUUUUUUUAUAUCUUUAUUUAUUUAUGUAUUUAUUUAUUUAUUUUUUUUAUCUAGUUCAUAUUUCGCCUCAGUUUUGGUGGUGCGAGUGUUCCUAUUAGCUUCAAUGUUUUCUUGCCAACUGUGAUGUUUAUUUGCAACCGUUCGCUGCCUGUGUAUGAUAAGCAUCUAUUAAUAAACCGUUCAUUAUUAUUA